rnacentral:lncRNA from 1 species
AUCAAACCGGAAGUGAUGUCAGAACUUAUCCCCUUUCUACUCCCACCCCCCCCACACGCAGAGCUGCCCCAGGAUUGGCCGCAGCCCCCCGGCGAAGCCCCGCCCCCUUCCGCUCUGCCCGGUCCUCCCGGCCUGGUGGGGGCGCUGUGCGCUGUGGGGGGCGCUGCUGCUGCUGGGGAACGGAGCGCUGGCAGCGGCCUACUGAGGCGGAACCGGAACCGGAAGCGGGGGGGCGGGGCCGACGAAAGGGGGCGGAGCCCGGAAGGGCGGGGAGAGCAGAGUGUGGAGAUGAGCUCUGUGGGAUCGUGGCCGCCCCCCCCCCCCAGCGACGCCGCCCCCCCCACCUUGGAGGACUUCCCCCCCCCCGCCUGGGAGGACCCCCAAAAAUGGGGUCCCCCCGCGCCCCCCCCGGGGCUGAACCAUCACUACGAGGACGUGGCCCAAUGGGGGGGGGACGAAGAGGUGCCCUUUGACCUCCGAGGGGAGCUGGUGUGACCCCCCCCCCCAAUAAACGCUGCCUA